ACUCCUACGGGAGGCAGCAGUGGGGAAUCUUGCACAAUGGGCGAAAGCCUGAUGCAGCCAUGCCGCGUGAAUGAUGAAGGCCUUAGGGUUGUAAAAUUCUUUCGCCAGGGAUGAUAAUGACAGUACCUGGUAAAGAAGCCCCGGCUAACUUCGUGCCAGCAGCCGCGGUAAUACGAAGGGGCGUAGCGUUGUUCGGAAUUACUGGGCGUAAAGCGCACGUAGGCGGACUUUUAAGUCAGAUGUGAAAUCCCGGGGCUCAACCUCGGAACUGCAUUUGAAACUGGAAGUCUGGAGUUCAGGAGAGGUUAGCGGAAUACCGAGUGUAGAGGUGAAAUUCGUAGAUAUUCGGUGGAACACCAGUGGCGAAGGCGGCUAACUGGACUGAUACUGACGCUGAGGUGCGAAAGUGUGGGGAGCAAACAGGAUUAGAUACCCUGGUAGGAUAGCG
rnacentral:rRNA from 1 species